UGGCUUAGUUGUCCAAAGCGUUGGACUAGCGAUUCGGAGUUGUGGGUUCAAAUCCCAC
rnacentral:tRNA from 1 species